rnacentral:rRNA from 1 species
AUACGGAGGGUGCAAGCGUUGUUCGGAAUUAUUGGGCGUAAAGAGCAUGUAGGCGGACUGUUAAGUCUGGUGUGAAAGCCCGGGGCUCAACCCCGGAAGUGCAUUGGAUACUGGCAGUCUUGAGUAUGGGAGAGGAAAGUGGAAUUCCGAGUGUAGGAGUGAAAUCCGUAGAUAUUCGGAGGAACACCAGUGGCGAAGGCGGCUUUCUGGACCAAUACUGACGCUGAGAUGCGAAAGCGUGGGGAGCGAACAGCAUUAGAAACCCCAGUAGUCC